AGCAGCCGCGGUAAUUCCAGCUCCAAUAGCGUAUAUUAAAGUUGUUGCAGUUAAAAAGCUCGUAGUUGAAUUUCGGGAUCAAUACGUCGGUCAUGCUUUUUGGUACGAACUGGCGUCAUUGGUUUCUCCUUUCUGACGAACCAUGAUGUCAUUAAUUUGGUGUUAUGGGGAGUUGGGACUGUUACUUUGAAAAAAUUAGAGUGUUUAAAGCAGGCAUAAGCUUGAAUACAUUAGCAUGGAAUAAUGAAAUAGGACGUUUGAUCCUAUUUUGUUGGUUUCUAGGAUCAACGUAAUGAUUAAUAGGGAUAGUUGGGGGCAUUAGUAUUCAAUUGUCAGAGGUGAAAUUCUUGGAUUUAUUGAAGACUAACUACUGCGAAAGCAUUUGCCAAGGAUGUUUUCAUUAAUCAAGACGAAAGUUAGGGGAUCGAAGACGAUCAGAUACCGUCGUAGUCUUAACCAUAAACUAUGCCGACUAGGGAUCGGAUGAUGUUAAUUUUUAAUGACUCAUUCGGCGCCUUAA
rnacentral:rRNA from 1 species